rnacentral:rRNA from 1 species
CUUGCUUCUCUUGAGAGCGGCGGACGGGUGAGUAAUGCCUAGGAAUCUGCCUGGUAGUGGGGGAUAACGUCCGGAAACGGACGCUAAUACCGCAUACGUCCUACGGGAGAAAGCAGGGGACCUUCGGGCCUUGCGCUAUCAGAUGAGCCUAGGUCGGAUUAGCUAGUUGGUGGGGUAAUGGCUCACCAAGGCGACGAUCCGUAACUGGUCUGAGAGGAUGAUCAGUCACACUGGAACUGAGACACGGUCCAGACUCCUACGGGAGGCAGCAGUGGGGAAUAUUGGACAAUGGGCGAAAGCCUGAUCCAGCCAUGCCGCGUGUGUGAAGAAGGUCUUCGGAUUGUAAAGCACUUUAAGUUGGGAGGAAGGGCAGUAAAUUAAUACUUUGCUGUUUUGACGUUACCGACAGAAUAAGCACCGGCUAACUCUGUGCCAGCAGCCGCGGUAAUACAGAGGGUGCAAGCGUUAAUCGGAAUUACUGGGCGUAAAGCGCGCGUAGGUGGUUCGUUAAGUUGGAUGUGAAAUCCCCGGGCUCAACCUGGGAACUGCAUUC